UCUAAUCUAAUAGGGGUUAAAAUUGUAAUUGUCAUUUGAUCACCUUCGGCUGCUUGCUCCGACGUGAAAAACAAUGAGUCACCAAUACCGUACGGUACGAUAGCGUUCCAGUCCAAAUCCACCCACUAGUUUUGUUUUCAUCGUUCCAAAUGAGCUUUCUGAAUUGUGAUGAGCAAACAACAACAACAGGAAGAACAAUGGAAUUGGAUCUGCUUCAAUGCGAAAAGGGUCAAUACAUAAUACAAUAGACUGCAAUCUCACCAGACUCGACUGGUUGAGCAGAUCAAGGAAGCUAAGGAAAAAUGAAGAUGUAGAAGAAAAUAUUAGUGAAGCUUAAUCCCAACUUGAAGAUUAAAGCAAUGGAUGAUUGGAGGAGGAAAACAGGACAUAAUCUUCAAAUGUUGUAUAAUCUUGUAUAGAUUAUAGAAAUGGUAUUGUAAGAUGAAGCUAUUGCACCUACCUUAAACUAAUAUUCCCAGAAUCAUACUCUAAUUUCUAGAGUCAGGACUGAUUUUGUUUGAGGGGUGGGUUGUUGGAUGCUAGAGAAAAUGUUUUAGACAACUUUAGGGAAAUUGCAUUUUUGAAAUUGAAAAUUUGCUCACAAAGUCACAAUGAUAUGGGUUAAACAUUGAU